rnacentral:rRNA from 1 species
AUGUCAACCACGAGUUCAUGUGGUCUUUGCGGCUCGCCAGAUUCCUGGAGACACUCGCUCCUAGAGUGCUCAAUGAUGAGAUGUAUAUGGGCGCUGGAUAAGGGAGAUAUAGUAGACUGGAUGAUCACUAGUACGGAGCCGAGGGCAAAAAAUUGGAUCUUUGCGCUCAUGGAUGCGUUACCUCAUGCGGAAUUUGUGAGAAUGACAGUCACACUCUGGGCUGUUUGGGCUGCUCGCCGGAAAUUUAUUCACGAAGGCCCCCCGGCAGUUCGCCAGGUACAUGCAAGGCCAAAGGCCCCUCCGACGGGUUUUGCCAAAAUUCACGUGGACGGCGUGGUCCGGCGGUACCGGGGUGGUUCUGCCGCUGCUGUAUGCCGAGAUGAGCAGGGCAACUACCUUGGGAGCUCCUCACUGGUGAUUGAUGGACAGGUAGACCCCGCCACCCUUGAAGCAAUUGCGUGCAGGGAGGCAAUGGCCCUUGCGGAAGAUUUGCUAGUACAAGACUUCGUAAUCUCUUCAGACUGCAAACAGGUCAUGGAAGAUAUACGAAAAGGAAAUCAAGGUCCUUAUGGAUCCAUCAUUACAGAGAUAAAACUUCGAGUUACUAGUUUUAGAUGCAGUUUUAUUUUUGAAGGACGAGCCGUUAAUGGUGAGGCCCAUAAUUUAGCUAAGCACUCUCUUUCCCUCGGUCCGGGACGCCACGUCUGGUUGGCUAAUCCCCACGAUCGGAAUUGUAUUCCACUCCAUGUGGAUUAUCAUCAAUAA